GACGAACCGUCCUAACGUUGUUCGGAUUCACUGGGCUUAAAGGGCGCGUAGGCGGCUUGCCAAGUCAGGGGUGAAAUCUUUCGGCUUAACCGGAAAAGGGCUCCUGAUACUGGCGGGCUGGAGGGAGGUAGGGGCAGAUGGAACUUCCGGUGGAGCGGUGAAAUGCGUAGAUAUCGGAAGGAACGCCGGUGGCGAAAGCGAUCUGCUGGACCUCUUCUGACGCUGAGGCGCGAAAGCCAGGGGAGCAAACGGG
rnacentral:rRNA from 1 species